UCCUCAACAUAACGUCCCAACUCCUGUACUCCAAGGUCUGAACAAUCAAGAUCCCAGUGAUUAAUGCCAAAGCCCUGUUGCCUGGGGAGAGGGUGAUGUUUGACUUUCUUGUACAGCUGCAGUUUGUGUGGUGAAGGUGCUCCCACAAUGUGGUUGGGAUGAGGCUGUCACUGGCUCGGCCAGCAUUUCUUGCUGCGUUUACCCAGAGGGCAGUUAAGAAUCAACCACGUUGCUAUAGGUCUGGAGUCCCAUGCAGACCAGACCAGGGUGAGGAUUUGCAGACUGAAAUCUCAAAAUCAUGUGCCAAUCAUGAUUAAGUUAAACAGAAUUUGACAAACCAAACAUGGGGAAUCACUCGGCCAAACUCCUGCAACACUCUCCCACACAGCAUUGUCGGUCUCUCUGCGCCAAAUGGACUGUGAAUGGUUCAAGACAACAGCUCACUACCAUCUUCUCAAGGGUAACCAGAGAUUGGGAAUAAAUGCUGGCUGAGCCAGUGAUGCCCAUAUCCUGGAAAUGGUUUCUAUCUCUAGUUGCUGAACCCCAGUUGAUGUUACUGCAGGAUGAUGAGGGAUGCUGAGUGCAUCCUCCAGGAGGCAGCACCAUCACAUUACCCCUGCCUACACCCACACAGUAACACCGCCACGUCACUGGAACAAAAGGCAGUGAAGCCAAAGGAGGACUUAGAUAUAGUACUUCGAGGUAAAGUCAUGAAAGUGGAUUGGAACACAGCAGGAACAGGAGACUGAGCUGGAUGGUCAGCUGUUUCCCAUUGAAUGGUGGAGCAGGAUUGAAAGGCCGAAUGGCCUCCUCCUGCUGCUAUCUCCCAGGUAUGUAUCCAGCCAUGGAGCCUAGGGAGGAAGGAGUGGGCAGGACAGGGAUUGUCCAGGAGAUUACACCUCUACCUCAGGUUUCAGUGAGGGACGGUUUGAC